CCACCAUUAGUAGCCGCUCCGCAGUGCGACCUUUAAUCGCCACGUGACUCAUACGCCGACCAAGUAGGAGAGAGCACAACAUCUUUAGGGGCAGCAUACUUUCCCUUGCCUCAUUGAGAGCACUUCCGGUGUAGAUUAUGAGAGUAGCAAGAUGGCGCCUUUGCAGCAGUGACGUCAUUACACAUUGACUUCCUGUUAAGAUUUUUUUUUUUAGCUGUUCUUAUUCCCAAUAUGUUUUCAUUGUCCAUAAUGAUAACCUAUAAUAAUAAUAACCUGUGCAUGUUUUACAUGCUUAGCAUAUUAUUAGUCUUUAUGUAUGUUAAAUGGUAUACAUUAUUUUAUUGUACAUGUCC